rnacentral:lncRNA from 1 species
UGUAAAGUAAAUCUAAAAUGAUAUAAACUCUUUGUAAGAUGUGUUCUAGGUCUAAAAUGGAAGAAGAGAAGAUCCUAUGCUAAAGAGAGAUGUCUCUUUAUUUAUACAAAGAAGAAGCUAGAGCUUCAUAGUAAAAUGAGCAUAAUUUUACUUUAACUCGUGCUUAGCGAAAGACGAGUUUACUGGACUCAUGCUGAGGCAAAAGCGAGUUUACUGAGAACUUGUGCCUAGUAAAAGGGGAGUUUCUGUAAACACAUGCCUAGCCAAAGGCGAGAUUUUGUAAACUCGUGUCUAACAAUAAGCGAGUCUAAUGCAAAUUCGUGCCUAAUAAAAAGCAAAUUCAAUUUAAAUUCGUGCCCAAAAUACAAGUUUACCGAACUAUUGCCGACCCAAAGUCUCGUGUUGAGAUCGUAAGUGCCGAGCAAGUUGUUGGCUUGUAUGUUCGUCAGGCUGUGAUGACGUUUGAGAAACUUUCUGUUUGCUGUUAAGAGAAACAUGGCGUGUCCAGGAUCAGAGUGACCGGCAAGGGCAGCGUCUCGUAGAGCAACGUCUCUGGCAAGAGUAGCGGUUAACACGAGCAGCAACGCUCUGUCUUACAGAAAACAUGAUGAUGAUCAGAUUAAGAUUCACCAAAAGAAAUAAUCAAGUUUUGUGUAAUCAAUAAGCAAGUGGCAAAACUUGUUUUACUCAAAGCUUCACAAGUUGCAUAUAGUAGUAAUUUAUUUACAACUAAACAGUUUGCACAGGUUGCAAGCAAUGAAGCAAUCAAGGUUAUAGAGCACUUAUCUUUGAUUGAUGAGUGAAGAAGCAAGACCUUGCCGCCGCUGAGUUCGCUUCAAGCUAUGAUUCAGUUUUCCAAAGGGAUAGAAGAAAACAGAGAACGUGUCCAGUGCAGUGAAACACAACCAGAUGGCAAGCUUGUGCGAAUUGCCUCUGUCGCCGAGAGGCUUUGUUGUUACGACGAGAUCAACAUGACGAGAAGGCUUCUUGGAGAGAUGAUACGAAGAUUAGGACAUGUCUCAUGCGCUGUUCCUUCUUAACGAGAAGCUUGUGCCGGUUGUGUCAAACUUGUCUUGAGAGCUCGCUUGAUGAAGAAGCAAGGCAAGACUGAGUUCUUCUUGAGACCUUCUAUGAGAAUAGAUACUUUUUUUUAAGACAUCGAAGGAAAAGUUUUCGACCGUUGUCGAAGUGAAUGCAGAUGCCGGCAAGAUACUGAUAUCAAGUGCAGAACUUCAUGAUAAAGCUUCAUGAUAAAGUUUCAAACUUUCUCUUUAGCUUCAGCAGGAGCUCUGAUCAGGCGAGGCUAUAUAUGUCCCGAGGAGGAGGAGAUCAUAUGAAGGUUGGAAGCCGAGAUCCAACACAGGCUGAGUUCGGCACGUGAUUAAACUCGAGACGUGGCAGUGGAGAAGCGCACCCUUUGCUGUCUUUUUUUUCGCUGGCCUUUCCGAUUUGUUACCUUCUUGGAUCGACAGAUGGAAGGAACUGGAAUCGCUUCUGCUUGUUAGCAAACGGUUUGAGGAUACCUCGUGAGAUUGUCUGAUGUUGAAUCAUCUCAAUCUCGCCAGCAACCCGUGUUCUGUUCGAAUCCCCUAACGCCCUGUUGCUGAAGGCAACGAUGGAGCAGGGCAAACUAGGGCUGAUCUCUGUCAUCGUCCUUCUCUUGUGGCCGCGAGAUCCCGAUAACCUUCCAAGCCUCUGGCUUGAUUUCGAAAAACCCAGUCCAUCUUAACGCCUCUGAGAAAAUCGCGUGGACCGGAAAGAAGCUCGUGCAGGUGCCGUCGCUUCUGAUGAGAAUCUUCGGCUCUUUGGUGGGUUCGUGUUCUUCGCGACUCUCACUUGACCUUGAAAGACCCAGUUCAUCGCAACACAUCUGGGGAGAUCGUGUUUCACGGGCCGGGAAGAAGCUCGAGCAGUCCGAGAAGAGCAGUCCCAGAAGCUUCACCGGCGGACCGAGACCGAAGCAGCACCACAGACCUUCUCCGGGAGGAAGCAACGGAACUGCCAUCGCGAAUCAGAGGAUGUCCAGGUCUUCUAUUUUAUCGGAUCAUGAACUUGUGUGGAGGAGAAAGAAAGCUUCAUCCUUUUUUUUUUUUUUAUGAAAGUAUGUUUAUUAAUCUAAGAAGAGGAGAAGAUCCUUUCUCAUAAAGAGGUAGCUUCUUAUUUAUAGAAAGAUGAAGCCUAGGGCUUCCUAGCAAUAUGAGCUAGUUCAAUGUCUAAUGGGCCUUGAAGAGGAUAUAAAUCCAUCCCCAACAGUAAGUCCCCCAAGUUCGUUGAGAGAGAUGAAAUCGAUCUCUGCGAAGUUUACGAAUAGGGUUUAUUAGACAAUGAACUAGACAUACUCAUGCCUAUGACGGUUUAGGCGAGUUUAUUUCGAACUUGUGUCUAGUAAUAAGCGAGUUUGCUUUAAACUCGUGCUUAGUGAAAGACGAGUUUACUUGACUCCUGCUAAGACAGAGGCGAGUUUACUGAGAGCUCGUGCCUAGUAGAAGGAGAGCUUUCUGUAAACUCAUGCCUAGCCAAAGACGAGUUUCUGUAAACUCGUGUCUAACAAUAAGCGAGUCGACCACAAACUUGUGCCUAAUAAAAAGCAAGUUCAAUUUAAACUCGUGCCUAAAAUUGCCGACCCGAAAUCUCGUGUUGAGAUCGUGUGUGCCGAGCGAGUUGUUGGCGUGUAUGCUGCUGUGACCGAACGUAUAUCUCGUGCCACUUCGGAGAUUAUGAGCUCGUCAUUGAGGUGGAGAAGAAACAAGCAUCUGAGGUAGGGAUCACGUAGCUGCCGAGACCGAACUCAACUUAUGCUUGCUCACGAUGGCUUGCCCACAAGAAGGCUCAGUCUUUCACGCUCCAUAGUGACAACGAGCUCAUCAUGAGAUCAUCAGAUUUCCUGUGACCAUAAAUAUAAUAUGAUCAAAGCGUGAUAUACAUAUGUAUAGUAAUGUUUAACAUGUAUAUUCACGAGAAGAAAAAGCUAGACAAUUAACUUUCUAAAGACGUUACGAGACAAGGCGGAGCUCAUACUCUUAGCAUGAUGAUCUAGUGAUUAUUUAGCAACGCAACUUCUAAUAAUCGUAGGUCAUAUUACAAGGUUCGAAAACUUAUCUCUUUUUUUUUUUUUAAUUGUAGAUGACCAUGAGUGGACCGUGAAGAGAGACCACACUGGUCAUGUCCUCUGUUUUCUUCUGUUCCUUUUGGAGCUUGAAGCAGUGCUUGAAGCCAGGAACAAGCUUCUAGCGGUGGAGCGCUUGAAGACGUGGCCAGUGCUGAGUAAAGCACGUGCCUAUUGUCCGACGUUAAACCGCACGAGCUCAAGGAUUCGGUCGUAACGAGAGAGCAGCCAUUGACGGGGUGAGACGAGAUGAUCCCUCAAGAAGCAAGACCUUGUUGGAGAGCUUGACGUCGGCAUGAUCAUGAGCUGAGCAUAAAGAGACGCUGAUCUGGUCAUAGUCCAUCACGUUCCUCUGUUUUCUUCUCUCCCUCUCUCUCUUUUGAGCUUGAACAAAGCUUGGAGCUGCUGACAACGUAUAGAGAUGAAGGUAAGGCCGUGUCUCGUACUUCCAAGGCAAGACCAGAACUGUAUUUGUGAUGGCAAGCUCGAGCUUCUCGGUGCUGGUGUCCUCAAGCCUUGAGCUGCUCUAGAGAUCAUGGCUGAGCUUGAGCUUGUUCUUAUCGAACUCUUCUCAUCUUGAUAGAGCUCAAAGACGUCACUGAUGGAGCACAAAAGGUCGAGCCUUUUUAUUCUUAAGAGGAUUGAGCCGGUUACAGCCUUUUCCGAGAUCGUUGAGUAAUCUACCGUGCUCGUCUUCUUCAAUGGAAACAGAUAGCAUGGCUUCUCUUCUUCCUUCUCCUCUGCCAUGUAUUCUAUGAUACUUCAUGGAAGAAGGUUCAGCGGGUUACCAUCAUCACGUAGCAGAGCAGAGGAAACAGAGAAUCGGUUCAUCUUGCAACGGUAAGCUUGAAGUUCUCUGUGUGGUGCUUGUCUUGAGGGCUUGCUUGAUGAAGAAGCAAGGUAUUGAUGAAGAAGCAAGAUGUUGAUCUCGUUCACUGACUUCACUAACUGUCGCCUUUUGGUGAACUCGUGGUCAGGCAGAGAAGCUAUGUAAAUCCGAUAGCCAGCUGAUGUGGUGUUGUUUGUAAGCUCCUCUCAACACUCUCUCUAGCUCGUCUCUUCUUUGGAGAAUGCUGAAGCUGUUUCCUUUGUGGAGAAAACGGUGGAGUUCGGGUACGAGCUCGUCGUCUUGCGGCUUUAAAGAUGAUAACUUCCGACGGCAACGACGAGAAAGGAAGCCCUAGUUGAGACAAACAAAUCUCGUAAUCACCUUGCCACGAGAUUGCCAUCUUGUCCUUCCACUCAUCAAGGUCGCAACAAACAUGAAACUUCAGACACUCAAAUCGCCUAGCUUGUUCUCGGACUGAAAGCUUGAGGAGAAGUUCGAUCUGGAUUCUCUGGAGAACAACGACGUCACCGUUUCGAGGGCUUCGUCUGAAUGGUACGGCUACUGCAGGAGAAGGAGCCGCCGGCGGAGUCAUCGGAGAUCGAUGCGGUGUUUAGCGAGAAGCGACGAUCGUCGUCGCUGGAGUCGGAAGUCUUCGUCGGAGAUGACGCAGUCACCGGCGGAUCGAGACAGGAGCUUCAAACUUUGACAUGUUAUCAUCAAUCUCUUUUGCUCCGAUCUGUUGAUCUUAAAGGACGAGCCUUUUGUUGAUUUCUCUUGUCAUCAUCUGAUUACGGGAUCUGUUUUCUUCGACCCAAAUCCCGCUAGGUGUCUGGUGAAGACUGGAGAUGGAGCUCGACGGAUCUGAGAAAGCAACGACGACAUCGUCCUUUUACAAGCUCGCUGGAGAUUAGAAGUUGUCUGAAAUCUCGUCAGCUUAGGAUCGACCCGCGACUGCCUCCGCUUCCUUUGCCGGAGCUCUAUCUGAGAGUCGUCGUCGGUCGUGACUCCUCCGCCGUCGAGGUGAGAAAGAUCUCUCUCUUUUCUCCUUCCGUCACGGGCUAGUUCGUCUUUGGUGGGGAUGGAACGGAACUCGACCAAUGCGAGAAAGCAGCCACAGCCCCAUCGGCGUCGUCCGUCUUCGAUUUGAUCUCCCAGAGUCGUCGUCGGUGACGAGUCACGACUCCUCCUAAGUCAGAAAUUUUUUUUUUUUUUUUUUGUAAGAUGUGUUCUAGGUCUAAAAUGGAAGAAGAGAAGAUCCUAUGCUAAAGAGAGAUGUCUCUUUAUUUAUACAAAGAAGAAGCUAGAGCUUCAUAGUAAAAUGAGCAUAAUUUAUUGUCUAAUGGGUCUUGAGAUAGGAUGUAGAUCCACCCCAACAAUCUUGAUAUAUAGGAACGGAAAGGCGUUACAGGAAGAGGAAUCGCGACAACAUCGAAGAUCGGUUCAUAAUGAUGGAGUAAUAACAAAAGGGGAAGAGGAAGAGCCCUCGAUUGAAAGAUCUAGCGAAAGACGGCAACCCUAUCGACCCCCGACGAACACACCCAGCGUCUCAUGAAAGUGAAGGCCCAGCAAAGCUCACGCCUUUAAAAACGAAACCCACUCGACAGAAGAAAAAAAAAAAAACUAAAGGCUG